rnacentral:rRNA from 1 species
GAUGAACGCUGGCGGCGUGCCUAAUACAUGCAAGUCGAGCGAACAGAUAAGGAGCUUGCUCCUUUGAAGUUAGCGGCGGACGGGUGAGUAACACGUGGGUAACCUACCUAUAAGACUGGGAUAACUUCGGGAAACCGGAGCUAAUACCGGAUAACAUUUAGAACCGCAUGGUUCUAUAGUGAAAGAUGGUUUUGCUAUCACUUAUAGAUGGACCCGCGCCGUAUUAGCUAGUUGGUAAGGUAACGGCUUACCAAGGCGACGAUGCGUAGCCGACCUGAGAGGGUGAUCGGCCACACUGGAACUGAGACACGGUCCAGACUCCUACGGGAGGCAGCAGUAGGGAAUCUUCCGCAAUGGGCGAAAGCCUGACGGAGCAACGCCGCGUGAGUGAUGAAGGGUUUCGGCUCGUAAAACUCUGUUAUUAGGGAAGAACAAAUGUGUAAGUAACUGUGCACAUCUUGACGGUACCUAAUCAGAAAGCCACGGCUAACUACGUG